rnacentral:rRNA from 1 species
GACGGAGGAUGCAAGUGUUAUCCGGAAUCACUGGGCGUAAAGCGUCUGUAGGUUGUUUAAAAAGUCUGCAGUUAAAGGUUGAAAGCUUAACUUCAAAAAUGCCGUAGAAACUUUUAAACUAAGAGGAUGGUAGGGGUAGAAGGGAAUUUCCAGUGGAGCGGUGAAAUGUGUAGAUAUUGGAAAGACCACCGAUGGCGAAGGCACUCUACUGGGCCAUGACUGACACUGAGAGACGAAAGCUAGGGGAGCAAAUGGG